CCGUGCUAGGCGGGGAGUUAGCGGUGCCCUGUUGCCCGCAAUCCGCUAUAGCGGGGUCGAAGUCCCUGUUGAGAUCCCGAUUCCUUUUCUUCUCUUCGGCCAGGAGUGUUGAAGGCCAGGUUCUGCGCGACGGCGGCCUGUGAACCCCGUCAGGACCGGGAGGUAGCAGCGGUAAGCGGUUACUGCCGGGUGCCGCAGAACAUCCUGGUCCGAGCUACCAGCCGGAUGUGGGGGAAGGGAUAGGCGAGCGAGGCAGGGUGCACGG
rnacentral:SRP_RNA from 1 species